AGGUGGCUAACAUUAACUGACCAUGCAGCACAGAUUUGCAUGAUUCUUCCUGCUAGACCAUGAGCUUAUUACAGAACCUGACACAGUUGGGCUCCAUAAACCUUUAUUAAGCAAAUGAAUACAGGAAUGAGUCAGCUACUCCAGCCAUUCCAUCUUUAAACUAGAGGCUAUAAAUGCAAAUCACUGCUGGCACCAGACUAGUGAGAGAGCAAAAUGGGACCAGCCAGGACAGCAGUCAAUGGUGGAAUGUGUGCUUCCAAAACAGGGAAGCUGAGGAGCCCACUGUUGCCAUCCUAAAAUGUAGGCUCCAUGUAGCUAUGCCUGAUACAGUCUCAAGAAACUUGUAAAUGCUGAAAAAAAACUUAAAAAGGAAAGAGAAGACAGUACAAUGUACCAGGGAGCAGGACUAAGAUGGAAACUCAAGUGUGUUUAGAACAACAGUCCCUACUCUUGAUCCUAACAACCUCCCUUGGUAGGAAGUCACAUCAGUGUUUAAACUGGAACCGCUAACAGCACUAGUAUCACAUUUCUUCUGAGCACUAAUUCUCAUACUGAUGAGUGUUCUGAGUGCAUAAUAGGUGGUUAAAUGGAGUUGAAAGAUUGGUUUAAAAAUCACCACCGACAAGAAACUUUUUAUGAAUUAGAAAAUUUUCAUCAAGACACAUCUGCAUAACUUUGGUUGAAGACACUCAAGUCCUUGAGGCCAGCUAAGACACCUUGAAAUUGAAGACACUCAGAAAACCAGAAGCAAAGCAAAUGAAUAAGCACAUUUCUGAGCACUGGUCUGGAACAGGUGUUGCCAGAAGAGAUUCAUAUUUGAGUCAGCGGACUGGGAGAGGCAGACCCAACCACAAUGUGGGUGGACACCAUCCCAUCAGCUGCCAGCGCAACUAGAAAAAGCCGGCAGAAGAAGGUGAAAGAAGCGGACUUGCUGAGUUUUCCGGCCUUCGUCUUUCUCCUAUGCUGCCCUCGAACAUCAGGCCCCAGCUUCUUUGGCUUUUGGAGUCUUGGACUUACACCAGUGGUUUCCCAGGGGCUCUCGGGCCUUUGGCCACAGACUAAAGGCUACACUGCCGAGCUUUCCUACUUUUCAGGUUUUGGAACUCUAACUGAGCCACUACUGUCUUCCUUGCUCCUCAACUUACAGACGGCCCAUCUGGGUCUUCAC